AUUCCAGCUCCAAUAGCGUAUAUUAAAGUUGUUGCAGUUAAAAAGCUCGUAGUUGGAUUUCUGGACGGAGCAGCCGGUCCGCCGCUGUGCGGUGUGUACUCGUGCUUGACUCGGUUCAUCCUUGUGGGGAAGCGCAUUUCGGCAUUCAGUUGUCGAGGCGGGGAACCACAUCAUUUACUGUGAAAAAAUUAGAGUGUUUAAAGCAGGCAUUUUGCUGUGAAUACAUUAGCAUGGAAUAAUAACAUAGGACUUUGAUUCUAUUUUGUUGGUUGGAGAUCAAGGUAAUGAUUAAUAGGGAUAGUUGGGGGUAUUCAUAUUUAAUUGUCAGAGGUGAAAUUCUUGGAUUUAUGAAAGAUGAACUCAUGCGAAAGCAUUUACCAAGGAUGUUUUCAUCA
rnacentral:rRNA from 1 species